UACGGGGGGGGUAAGCGUUGUUCGGAAUUACUGGGCGUAAAGGGCUCGUAGGCGGCCAACUAAGUCAGACGUGAAAUCCCUCAGCUUAACUGGGGAACUGCGUCUGAUACUGGAUGGCUUGGAUUUGGGAGAGGGAUGCGGAAUUCCAGGUGUAGCGGUGAAAUGCGUAGAUAUCUGGAGGAACACCGGUGGCGAAGGCGGCUACUCGCGUCAGCUGUCGAACUGACAUCGUAG
rnacentral:rRNA from 1 species